rnacentral:rRNA from 1 species
UACGAAGGGGGCUAGCGUUGCUCGGAAUCACUGGGCGUAAAGGGUGCGUAGGCGGGUCUUUAAGUCAGGGGUGAAAUCCUGGAGCUCAACUCCAGAACUGCCUUUGAUACUGAAGAUCUUGAGUUCGGGAGAGGUGAGUGGAACUGCGAGUGUAGAGGUGAAAUUCGUAGAUAUCGGAAGGAACACCAGUGGCGAAGGCGGCUUCCUGGGCUAAUACUGACGCUGAGGUGCGAAAGCGUGGGGAGCAAACAGG